rnacentral:tRNA from 1 species
AGGGGUGUAGUCUAGUGGUAAAGUGCUUGCCUGGCAUGCAUGAGGUCCUGGAUUCAAUCCCUAGCACCACAA